UACAGAGGGUGCAAGCGUUAAUCGGAAUUACUGGGCGUAAAGCGUGCGUAGACGGUUAUUUAAGUCAGGUGUGAAAGCCCAGGGCUCAACCUUGGAAUUGCAUUUGAGACUGAAUAGCUAGGGUGCGGAAGAGGGAAGCGGAAUUUCCGGUGUAGCGGUGAAAUGCGUAGAUAUCGGAAGGAACACCAGUGGCGAAAGCGGCUUCCUGGUCCAGCACCGACGUCAGGCACGAAAGUGUGGGGAUCAAACAGG
rnacentral:rRNA from 1 species